ACACACGCAAAGUCGAGCGGUAGCACAGAGAAGCUUGCUUCUUGGGUGACGAGCGGCGGACGGGUGAGUAAUGCAUAGGAAUCUGCCCGAUAGUGGGGGAUAACCUGGGGAAACCCAGGCUAAUACCGCAUACGUCCUACGGGAGAAAGGGGGCUUCGGCUCCCGCUAUGGGAUGAGCCUAUGUCGGAUUAGCUAGUUGGUGAGGUAACGGCUCACCAAGGCCACGAUCCGUAGCUGGUCUGAGAGGAUGAUCAGCCACAUCGGGACUGAGACACGGCCCGAACUCCUACGGGAGGCAGCAGUGGGGAAUAUUGGACAAUGGGCGCAAGCCUGAUCCAGCCAUGCCGCGUGUGUGAAGAAGGCCCUCGGGUUGUAAAGCACUUUCAGCGAGGAAGAACGCCUAGCGGUUAAUACCCGCUAGGAAAGACAUCACUCGCAGAAGAAGCACCGGCUAACUCCGUGCCAGCAGCCGCGGUAAUACGGAGGGUGCAAGCGUUAAUCGGAAUUACUGGGCGUAAAGCGCGCGUAGGUGGCUUGAUAAGCCGGUUGUGAAAGCCCCGGGCUCAACCUGGGAACGGCAUCCGGAACUGUCAAGCUAUAGUGCAGGAGAGGAAAGUAGAAUUCCCCGGUGUAGCGG
rnacentral:rRNA from 1 species